GAGGUAACGAUCAUUCCAUUUUGCGUAUGGGUAAUGCAAAAAGCAAAGCCGGUGAACAUCAACAAGAAGAGGACGUAGCUACAGGUCAGGCGAGUGGUAAAAAUGUUGAAGAAUACAGUGCAACCUUUGAUACUGAAAAAGAUGAAGCUAUUUGCGCAACAGAACCCGCCCCUACGAGCGAGACAAAUCUGAAAGAAUAUAAUCCAAGCAUCUUAACCGUAGCUGCAAAUCUUGACCCAAUUUACAC